GGGGAGGGAACAAGGAAACACCUGAGCAGAGAGGAGCUGGCUGUGUUUGAGAGCAGGAAGAAGAGGGAGGGCUUAUCAAGAGCUGAGUCAUUCCAGGAAGAGGAGCUUGUAAAUGAUCUGUAGAGUUCAUACACUUUGAUCGCUGUGAAGAAAAUAGUUCAUGUUAAAGUUUCACCUGGAAAUGAGUCCAAAAGAAACCAGAAGACUUUUCUAAAACACGGCUGAUCUGAAGGUGAAAUAAAGGUAAAUCCUCCAGUCAGUGACAAUCAUCAGCCCAACAACCACUAAUAAAGGCAAUCAUUUCAUCUUCUUCAUCUUCAGUGAUGAAAUCCUCGACUGUCUGUAAAAGGUGAGCUGUCAGAGACGAGGACUACAAACACAGGAGCAUCACCAGCUGCCAUUUUGUCACCUUUGUUCUUUUCUUUGGAAACCACUGGUGGGCGUGGCCUCAGCUCACUGAUUAUGGCACACCUGCACCCCAUCAAGCACCUGACUCCCAUCCUGCAAUCACCGCUGCCCAGCUCUCCAGUCCUCGUUGGAUUGUUUGUGUACUCAGAAGUUUUGUCCUGUUUUCCUUGGAUCACCCGUACACCCUGCAAGUCAGCGCCGACACCUGGAUCCAACUCCGUCCUGCUCUGCCAGUCCCCCACUGCUCAUCCACAAUGGAACCCAAACCCAGCCUCGAUCUCACCCCCACUCUCUGUUCGGUAUAUUCUGAUUGUUUCGGCAAAUAAACCAUUGUUACUUCCUCAUCAGCUACAUCUGCUUUUCUAAGCCUGACAAGUUUUAAUGCACAAUUACUGUAUGUUUACUGUGUUUCAUGCUGCUACUGGAUGCAACAUAUUUAAAAUGUACAGAGCUGCAAAAUGAACAAACGUGAAACAAAGCAGUUAUUCUGUAUAUUUAUUGAUAAUAAGACCACUGAUGGUGACUUAGUCAAUAGUAGACAGCAGGGUGCAGUUCUUUUUGAGUGUCUGGUGACCCCAUGUGUAAGCAGGAUGGUAUUACAAUUUAGUAUUUACAAGGACAAUAUCAGUUUGAAGGGGAGGGGGAAGGAAAAACGGGUUUCAUACAUUCACUAAAUAAAUGUACAGCUUUAAAAGCAAAUAGGGUUUGAGAAGCCACAACCAAAUACUGACCAAAACAGGAUCCACGAAAUCUAGAUGAUCUCUCUCUCUCUCACACACACACACACCUUGUCAUACAAGGAAAAUACACAAUCAAAAGGUUUAAGGAGUCACACACACAAGGCAGGAGAGAUCACUUAGUGAAACUGUAAACUUAAUGCCAAACCGAACCAUGAUAAUAAUAAUAAUCAUAAAUAUACAGCUAAAUUGAAACAGCUACAUGUUUGCACGUUACUCUCAACAGAACAUUGGCCACAAUUAUUUUUUUCAGUGCAAUUGUUUACCUAUAAACUAUCAAACAAAUACCGAUUAACAGCACAAAGUGCGGAAUCAAAACGGUGACUCGACGUUUAUACCGGUUAGCAUAUUAUAAUGAGAAACAUUACAUCAUAUAAAUUACAUUUCCAAUAAAUAUCUACAGAUGAUGACGAUGAUGUUCAUGGCGUGUUGAUGCACUACAUAGAAUACUGUAAAUACUAGAUUAACACUGUUGGAGCCCUGCGCAUGUCGAUCAUUUCACACUUUUCUCACUCGUUCUUAACCCGGAUUAUUUAAUACGACCCGUGCAGGCUGUAAAUCGUUGAGUUUGUUGCACCUGUAGCCACAUCUGACAGGUACGCCUCUACAUCGCUGCAACAAGGUGAGAUAUUUAACCGACAGAGGUCAGCGAAAACGAGAUUUUUUAGCAGCUGCUUAGUCGGUCUUUAAAGCUAAAUUGUAAAAUUGAAUUGCUUACUUUGAGAAAGACAAAAUCUGACACAUUACUAAGGUGCCGGUCUGCUUCAAACGAACACACCUUUCAUCAGAUUUGUUGGGCAGAUCGGUCAGGUGUGUUGAUUUAAACCUCCAUUCCGACUUCUGUCACUUUUAGGGUACAUUCAGACAGGAUCGGGCGCGGCGUGGUGGCGUGUGGGUAACGUAACCGCUGUGAAACAAUCAGGAAAUAACUUUUUAUUUAGCUGAUUAACGACUUUAUCGAUGCCAGCGCUCGCUCACUCUCAUUCACUGUCUGUGUCUCUCAACCCGUGCUGACGCAAAGCAAAUUAAACUUGUUCGUGUCUCUAUUUUGUGGCCUAAAUUGCGAGCUAGACUAGAUUUAGAAGCUGGUUCAUGGAAUAAAAGUCAUAACACAACGGAGUUUCGACAGUCUCAGGAGAGAGACUAUCUUCAGAGACAUUUCAGGCCGACUGUGGAGGUUUCACCGGACACCCCCCGUGGCCAAAAUGCACUACCCCCACUCAGAUAAAUGGAAAAACCUGCAGCGCCGCAUCCUGUCUGGAUGCACCCUCAAUCUGACCACCAGGUGCAACGCGAUGAAUGCCUUUGCGGAGAGGCUUUCAUAUGAUUCAUUGCAUGUUUUUUCUGCAAGGUUUUCAAGCCGGGUCUCACCAUGCAUUGACCUUUGAGGGGGCGGGGGGUGAGGACAAGAGUGCAACAACACUGAGGAAGCUAUUUCUGCCUGUUAGCUGUGUUUCAUCUUCCUUCAACUGCUCCAAACAAUGAGGAAGUCUCUCAGACAGUCAAUGGUGUAAGUUCGUCUUUUGAAUAAACACAGUGUGAACUUAUUGUCCCGAUAGCGACCAAGAUGACGUUAGAAAGCACUGUGUGGUGUGCGUUCAUCUACUUUGUGGCAGAUUUGUUCCACCUCAAUUGUUUAUUUUGCUCAUGUUAGCGUCAUUUUAAGCAUGUAAAGUAGAGCAAAGUGGAGGGUUUACUGGGGGAAGAUUCCCAUUUCGAAUCCGAACUGAUGAUGAGUUACAAUUUUAAGAUGUAAUGUAUCUCAUAAUUUGCUAUUUUAGUUAAAUGAUCUGGUCAAAAAAACACCAUGCCUCGUCUACAGGUACAAAUUCUCCCUUUUCUCUCCGUUGUCAGUUUCCCUAUGUUUCAUAUAAACUUAAAAUAUUAUCCUCGGUACACGUAAUCAGUUCACAAAAUGUCACAACCAUAGGAAUAUACAAUGGUGAGCGAUAGCAAAGUCAAAUGCAAAACUAAACCUAUCUAUUAAAGUAUUACUUUCAAGCUUUAGUAAUGUCAUUCUGUACAAAGAUGUGCAGUGGUCCUCUGAUGACGGUCGGUGAAGCAUGCUGCAACAGACUGAGAAGCCGAGUUGCACCCAAUCACCUAUCUGAGACCAAGACUGCUGUCAACUCCCGACAAGUCUGGUUUUAACCCGCCCGUUGAAGGUCGUAGGCUGUAGUGAUCCGAGAUAUGUGCCAAUGAGCAACUUCUACAUCAAGCAGCGGUGUGAUGUGACGUGUGGUAUAGAACGUUUUGAUGCAACAGCAGUGAGUCAAGGAAUGGUGCUUUACAAUAA